GUCGAACGGUAACAGAUCUAGCUUGCUAGAUGCUGACGAGUGGCGCACGGGUGCGUAACGCGUAUACAAUCUACCUUUAACUGAGGGAUAGCCCAGAGAAAUUUGGAUUAAUACCUCAUAGUAUUAUGAUUAGGCAUCUUUUUAUAAUUAAAACUUCGGUGGUUAAAGAUGAGUAUGCGUACUAUUAGCUAGUUGGUAAGGUAAAAGCUUACCAAGGCAACGAUAGUUAGGGGGCCUGAAAGGGUGAUCCCCCACACUGGUACUGAGACACGGACCAGACUCCUACGGGAGGCAGCAGUGAGGAAUAUUGCACAAUGGAGGAAACUCUGAUGCAGCCAUGCCGCGUGCAGGAAGAAUGCCCUAUGGGUUGUAAACUGCUUUUAUACAAGAAGAAGCCUCGGUACGUGUACCGACUUGACGGUAUUGUAUGAAUAAGCACCGGCUAACUCCGUGCCAGCAGCCGCGGUAAUACGGAGGGUGCAAGCGUUAUCCGGAUUUAUUAGGUUUAAAGGGUCCGCAGGCGGAAUAUUAAGUCAGUGGUGAAAAGCCUACAGCUCAACUGUAGAACUGCCAUUGAUACUGAUAUUCUUGAGUAUGGAUGAAGUGGGGCGGAAUAUGUUCAUGUAGCGGGU
rnacentral:rRNA from 1 species